rnacentral:rRNA from 1 species
GACGAACGCUGGCGGCGUGCUUAACACAUGCAAGUCGAACGGAAAGGCCCUGCUUGCCGGGUACUCGAGUGGCGAACGGGUGAGUAACACGUGGGUGAUCUGCCCUGCACUUCGGGAUAAGCCUGGGAAACUGGGUCUAAUACCGGAUAGGAGCCAUUUUUAGUGUGAUGGUUGGAAAGUUUUUUCGGUGUAGGAUGAGCUCGCGGCCUAUCAGCUUGUUGGUGGGGUAAUGGCCUACCAAGGCGGCGACGGGUAGCCGGCCUGAGAGGGUGGACGGCCACAUUGGGACUGGGAUACGGCCCAGACUCCUACGGGGGGCAGCAGUGGGGAAUAUUGCACAAUGGGCGCAAGCCUGAUGCAGCGACGCCGCGGGGGGGAUGACGGCCUUCGGGUUGUAAACUCCUUUCGCUAGGGACGAAGCUUUUUGUGACGGUACCUAGAUAAGAAGCACCGGCUAACUACGUG